GUGUUUUUCGCUGUGGUUCUAUUUGUAGGUCGUCACAGCAAUCCCUGAGAGAGUAUGUUUAAGGAAUACUGUGCCUUCCAAAACAAAACCCGGAACGGGCCUAGGAGGACGCACGGGAAAUAGAGUCCACACUCAUCUGGAGGUCAGAAGUCCCCCGGUUGGAUGCGCGGUUCUUCCUGCUCCCGCCUCAUCGGGCCUGAUCUCACCGGUUCACACAGCCAUUCACCAGACCUCCGUCUUAGGCCUCAUAGCGCCCCAUCCCCACGUGCCACGCCACAGCAGCGCAAAGAGGUUACAUUACCUGAACGAAAGGGCGGCGAGACAGUCCAAAGACAGCGCCGAGGGGAAAGGCAGCCAUUGAUCGGGAACUUCUAGGCCCCAAAGAAAGAGCAGUGAAGACUUAGUAAAUAGACACCCGUAGCCGACGGCUAUGUGCCACACAGCAUGUGCUCUGUAUGAAAAAAGUGACUAGUAAAUCAUAAGAAAAUGACUCUAGAGUCUCAUCAGGAUGCCUAAGUCACAGCUGAAUAUAAUUCUGACACCUUGGAAUUCCAGAAGCCACAGGAAGCAACUGAGUUGCUCUGAUACAGACAGAAGGCAUUUUUACCAGAGUCUCUACUAUUCUCCUCAGAUUCUUCUUCCUCUUCAUCAUCAUCAGAAUACUUUUUCUUUGGAGUCUUUCUCCGCAAACGCCUGCUUUGUCUCAUUGGCCUAGAAGGAUGCCUCCUCAGUCUUCGGCUGCAGAAGUCCGUGUCACUGUCCUCAUUAGAUGGUGGAUCUUCUUCACUUUCAUCUGGGUUUUCAUCAGACACAACAAACUCAUCCUGAGAUCUGUGCAGGAAAAGCCACAUAUGUCAUGAUGGUGCUCUGUUUGUUUUGUAAUGGUACAGUUGGAAGUGAUAAUCAGUUUUUCAUAGUUCCAAACACAAACUGUUAAGUAAUAUUCCAGUGAAAUGUUAAGUAAUAUUUAAAGACACAUUUAGAAAAUUAUGUCAACUUCUGUCUAUAAAACGAAUAUCCUAUCACCUAUCCUCUUUGUAAAAGCCACAAAGAUAAACUGAUGCUGAGGGGCUGGAGAGAUGGCUCGGAAGUUAAGGGCAUUGGAUGUUCUUCCAGAGGUCCUGAGUUCAAUUCCCAGCAACCACAUGGUGGCUCACAAUCAUCUGUAAUGAGAUCUGGCACCCUCUUCUGGCCUGCAGGCAUACAGACAGAUGCUGUAUACAUAAUAAAUAAAUACAUAAAUAAAUAAAUCUAAAAAAUGUUUUUUAAAAAGAUGCUACUGUUCUCUGUUGUCAAUAAUACCUUAUUUAAAAAUAAAAACGUGAUUCUAAAUUU